GUUGGCACAUCAUGUUUACUUUCCGCGAUCUCGCGUUCUUAAUUAACCGUUGUGUCUGUAGUCGCUUCUUAUACGUGUUGUGAGUGUGACUCUCUCUCUCUUUGACUUUUGGUUAGAGUUGUGUGUUGUGUUCUUUUCGCACAGAUAAGAAAACGUGAAAAUAUUAGGUAUAAAACUCCCAACAUUCUGUCUCUCAACAUCCGUCCUACCGGUCAGCACUGUUUUUUUUGUUUUACGCGUAUUAUUUUAACCGUCAAUUGUACCCCAGCUUUGUAGGCUCAAAAAGUAAUGAUUUCAAUAAUGUAUGUAUUAUUGCUGGUAGCUACAACCAAAUCAGAAAUUAUGGAUUAUACAAACCAUGAUUUCCCUCUUUACAAGGAUACUGUCGAAAAUAAAGUACGUUUAUUAAAAUCUGGCAAUGCAGUCAUGUACUACAUUGACAUCUUUCUCUUACGAAAAUGGAGCAUCAGUGUAUGAUAGUUGUAUUUUCCUUUAUGUUAGUUGCAAAUAAACUCUUCAUGUGGAAGAUUUUGCAGUUCAA